GCGGCGCCCCCUGAGGGCGCAGCCCCGUGCGCCCCGCACCUCUGUCCACCGCGAGCUGCAAAGUGCGGGGCCGCCUGAGGAGCGGGGCGCGGGAGUGGAAGUCGCCUGAAGGCAGGAGGGUCGCUUUGGCCCCAGCAGUCCCCAAAGCGCCAAGAAACCAGGUGACGCGGAAGCCCCAGCGAAGCCUGCUUGGGAGGCCAAGCCUGACGGAGCACUGGGCUCCCGCCCUCCUCGGGACCCCAGGAAUAGACCUGGAAGAGCUUGAAACCUCUCCCAGGGUGCUGGUCGAACUCCACUAAAUUGAUUUCAUGACACUAAUGGGAUGAAAAGCACAGUUUGUGAGGACUUGCUUUUUUCACACACGAAGCCUGCUCACAGAAAAUGAAUGCCAGGACAUACCUCCCUUCUGCUCGUCCAAGGAGUUUGAGGUCUCCUCCGGCCUGGGCACGGCAGGAAGUCUUGAUUUCUUUGCUUGAGGUUGGAGUGGAGAUUGGCGUUUGGGGGCCAUGCUGCUAGGAAAGUCCCAGAAGCAGAUCCGAGGGAAAGGUGCGCCUGGAAGAGACUCUGAGGACUGAGGCUGCCAGGUGACCCAGCUUUAAAUCUGCUCUGGAGCCGCGGGGCCUGGAGGGGAUAUUUACAUGACAGUGGAACACACACCCAUUCCCCCUCCCCCAGCCUCAUCCUCCCUACCCACCCUCCAAUCAAGAUCAAAUUCCUUUAGUUGCUCCCAGCGUUUCUCUACUGGGGCCUUCUGGGCAUUGGAUGGGUGGGGGAGGUAUUUCCUUGUGGGGAGUAGCGCUCUCCGCUCUCUGGCACUCUCCUGGUCUAACUUGAAACACAAGCAGCCCAUCCCCCAGUCCUUUUCCCAGUCCUCUAGGAUUAGGCCCCCUUUGAGAACUUGUGUUUUUUUUGUUAAACUAUGGCCUCCAGAAGAUGCUAUUUCCUCACCUCAGUCAGGAACAUUCUUCAGUAUUUCCGCCCCCAACCCCCAUAUCUCACUAAUUCCUUCCCCACUUCUGGGUCUCCGCUGAAGGGAUAAAUGCAUGUCCAAAUAAAGGAGUCCCAAACAAGAAUUACAAAGGAAAGGGGGGAAAGUAGGCACCCCUGAGAGGAGUUAAAAGGGCCAACCAUUCACCACUCAUUUCAAAGACGGCAUCUUGUCUGGGCAGAGGCUCUCAAACCCCAGUGCCUUUGGGAACCUUCAGGUGAUCACUGUGAGUAAGACCGGCCACUGGCGGUGACAACAGCCAGGGGCAGGGAGGUGGCACAAGCGCCUGAGGCACUGUGCUGGUCACAGUUUGGCUGCAGUUCCGCUCCUGACAGAAAUACACCAAUAUGUGUGGUCAGUGUAGAAGAGAGUUCACAGCAGCAGAGUCCUAGUAGCCAGAUCUCUGAAAACAAUACAAAUGUCUAUCAAAUACGAAAAAGUGAAUGGAGCCCUUGGAAGCACUGCCCAGAGCGGAGGUGACAGAAGAGUGACCCCACAGGAACCUCAGCCACUUGCUGCAUCUGCCUCCAGUACAAUAAGAGGCAAACCUGAUCCCCUCUGUUAUAAUUCCAGAGCGGGGAUUUCCCUUGUCAUGGGGAGUCACUGGAAGGGGGCAGUAGGGUCUCCAGAGCGCUGGCUACACCCCCUUUCUGGGUCUGGGGAUUGCUGCACUAUUGGGUUUGCUGUGCAAAACCUGCAUCGCCAGGUCUUUAUUUUCUAAAGAAAAGCCAGCGAUUUCUGUGGGAAAGCUCUGGAUUUUUAAAAGUUAGUAACUAAUUAAAUGUUUUAAAACACACUUUGUAGGGCCUCCCUGGUGGCACAGGGGUUAAAGACACAGCAUUAUCAAGCUAUCACCAGCCAUUGCAACAUGAGUUCUAUCCUGGCCAGGGAGCUGACCCACAUAGCACAGCAGACCUCUCCUGUCUCGCCCCCUGCUCCCCUCAGCAGUGUCCUUCGGUCCAUCUGCCUGUUCCCUCCCGCACCUCUGACCUGUACCCCAGUUCUUGUAUAAAUAAAUAAAAUAAUUUAAAAA